UCUGUUUUACAGUUCAACUUUUGACCUUGGGGGAUGAAUGGGUGGAGGCUAAGAGGAAAAGUCCACUGUGUUUUUUCUGAACUUUUUACCCUUAAAAAAAAUGAGCAAGUUUAAAGUUCACACAGUGCACAAGAGGUCUCCACUGGGGAUUUCUGGUAUUAUUAACUUCCUGACCUCAGAUAAUUAAAAAGAAAGAGCAGAGCCACCUCAGACUAUGACUCAACUUUGAACUUUUAACCUUCCAAGUAAAGGAUUUAAAUUGUAAAUGGUAGACCUUGGAAGCUUUCUUAUUGCUAUUAACUUCUUUCAUCCCUUGUCAUGAAGUUAUAAUUUAGGCCAAAAGCAGAGCCCAAUCUUUCCUUUUUAUUUACUUAACCUCCUUUAGCAGAAAAGACUGAGAACACCACUUACCUAGAAAUGACAGGUAUUCUGAUGAAAGAAGUUAGACUCAAAGGGUCAUUGAAUUUUGGAACUAGAAGCCACCCUAGAUGGUCUAUCCGGGCUCCUCAGCUGUGAAGAGAAUAGAGAACCAGGGAGGCCCAAGAAUUCCUUACCCUCAGGCACGUCACGGGAGAACAGAAGAGCUUCCCUGAUUCAGUAGCUGUGUUUGCUUCUGUUGUAGAGGGAUUCAAGCAUGAUUGGGGAAGAGAUCCUCCCGGUGUGAUUGCAAACCUCAGAGCUGAUACAGAGCUUCGAGAUGAGUAUCUGUACCUUAAGGCAACAGAAGAAGAACAGAGAGUCAAGCACAACCCAGAGUUCCAGUGCCAAAUGAGUCAGUAUGUGAAUUAUCUGCAGUGAAGACUCACCUCAAGACAAGCCCAAAGACCCCCCUGCAGGAAAGUAAACAGGAACCAUUAAAGACGAACCUAGUGCUUCUCAGGGUUACUUCACUGACUCAAUCCAACUCUCAAGUGUGCUGGCCUUUUUCCUUUUAAGGACAGAGAAGUCCUGUCUGUGAAGACCAUGGUGUCAUGCACAGGGAAGCCGCAGCCAGGAAGAGGAAAAUCAUCGCCUGACCAGGUGCAAUAUUGCCCCCAUCAGGAGCAUCUCUGUAAUGGAAAGUUGCAAUGACUUGUCCAGCUGUUAAAAAAGCAGGAGUUAUCUGUUUUGUAUAUAAAAAAAGGACUUACUGUGUAUAGCACAGGAACUCUGUUCCAUACUCUGGAAUGACCUAAUGGGAAAAGAAUCUAAAAAAGAAUGGAUAUACGUAUAACUAAUUCCCUUUGCUGUACAGCAGAUGCUGACGCAACAGUGUAAAUCAAUUCUACUCCCAUAAAAAAUUUUUCAUAGGUUAUAUUAGCUAAUAGUAUAAUCUCUAAAUAAGGAAAUGGCUGCUAUAAACUAAGAAUAAAUGAGCUUUAUUUUCAGGACA
rnacentral:lncRNA from 1 species